rnacentral:rRNA from 1 species
AAAGACCUUAUGCUUUUGGAGCGGCCGAUGUCUGAUUAGCUAGUUGGUAAGGUAAUGGCUUACCAAGGCGACGAUCAGUAGUUGGUCUGAGAGGACGGCCAGCCACACUGGGACUGAGACACGGCCCAGACUCCUACGGGAGGCAGCAGUGGGGAAUUUUGGACAAUGGGCGCAAGCCUGAUCCAGCAAUGCCGCGUGAGUGAAGAAGCCCUUCGGGUUGUAAAGCUCUUUCAGUCGAGAAGAAAAGGUUGUGACUAAUAAUCACGACUCAUGACGGUAUCGACAGAAGAAGCACCGGCUAACUACGUGCCAGCAGCCGCGGUAAUACGUAGGGUGCGAGCGUUAAUCGGAAUUACUGGGCGUAAAGGGUGCGCAGGCGGUUCUGUAAGUCAGAUGUGAAAUCCCCGGGCUUAACCUGGGAACU